CAGCAGCCACGGGAAUACGGAGGGUGCAAGCGUUAUCCGGAUUCACUGGGUUUAAAGGGUGCGUAGGCGGAUCUGUAAGUCAGUGGUGAAAUCUCCAGGCUUAACCUGGAAACUGCCGUUGAUACUAUAGGUCUUGAAUUUUGUGGAGGUUAGCGGAAUAUGUCAUGUAGCGGUGAAAUGCAUAGAUAUGACAUAGAACACCAAUUGCGAAGGCAGCUGGCUACACAACUAUUGACGCUGAGGCACGAAAGCGUGGGGAUCAAACAGGAUUAGAUACCCGGGUAGUCCCUGUCUCUUAUAA
rnacentral:rRNA from 1 species